GGUGGCGUGUCCGAGCGGCCGAAGGUGCGCGCCUCGAAAGCGCGUGAGGAUGAAAAUUCUCCGAGGGUUCAAAUCCCUCCGCCACCGCCA
rnacentral:tRNA from 2 species